rnacentral:misc_RNA from 1 species
GAUGAAGAACGCAGCGAAAUGCGAUAAGUAAUGUGAAUUGCAGAAUUCAGUGAAUCAUCGAGUCUUUGAACGCACAUUGCGCCCCCUGGUAUUCCGGGGGGCAUGCCUGUCCGAGCGUCAUUGCUGCCCUCAAGCCCGGCUUGUGUGUUGGGUCUCGUCCCCCUUCCCGGGGGGACGGGCCCGAAAGGCAGCGGCGGCACCGCGUCCGGUCCUCGAGCGUAUGGGGCUUUGUCACCCGCUCUGUAGGCCCGGCCGGCGCUUGCCGAUCAACCAAAACUUUUUUCCAGGUUGACCUCGGAUCAGGUAGGGAUACCCGCCGAACUUAAGCAUAUCAAUAAGCGGAGGA